rnacentral:rRNA from 1 species
CACGUAGGAGGCGAGCGUUGUCCGGAUUCAUUGGGCGUAAAGAGCGCGCAGGCGGCUUGGUAAGUCGGAUGUGAAAACCCGGAGCUCAACUCCGGGCGUGCAUCCGAUACUGCCCGGCUAGAGGUAGGUAGGGGAGAUCGGAAUUCCUGGUGUAGCGGUGGAAUGCGCAGAUAUCAGGAGGAACACCGGUGGCGAAGGCGGAUCUCUGGGCCUUACCUGACGCUCAGGCGCGAAAGCUAGGGGAGCGAACAGG